GACGAACGCUGGCGGCGUGCUUAACACAUGCAAGUCGAACGGAAAGGCCCUGCUUUUGUGUGGUGCUCGAGUGGCGAACGGGUGAGUAACACGUGAGUAACCUUCCCUUGACUUUGGGAUAACUUCAGGAAACUGGGGCUAAUACCGGAUAGGAGCUCCUGCUGCAUGGUUGGGGUUGGAAAGUUUCGGCGGUUGGGGAUGGACUCGCGGCUUAUCAGCUUGUUGGUGGGGUAGUGGCUUACCAAGUCUUUGGCGGGUAGCCGGCCUGAGAGGGUGACCGGCCACAUUGGGACUGAGAUACGGCCCAGACUCCUACGGGAGGCAGCAGUGGGGAAUAUUGCACAAUGGGCGGAAGCCUGAUGCAGCAACGCCGCGUGCGGGAUGACGGCCUUCGGGUUGUAAACCGCUUUCGCCUGUGACGAAGCGUGAGUGACGGUAAUGGGUAAAGAAGCACCGGCUAACUACGUG
rnacentral:rRNA from 1 species